rnacentral:rRNA from 1 species
GACGAACGCUGGCGGCGUGCUUAACACAUGCAAGUCGAACGGUGAAGCGCCUUCCUUUUUGGUGGGUGUGGAUGAGUGGCGAACGGGUGAGUAACACGUGAGUAACCUGCCCCCUUCUUCUGGAUAACCGCAUGAAAGUGUGGCUAAUACGGGAUAUUCUGUGUCUGUCGCAUGAUGGGUCUGGGAAAGAUUUUGUUUCGGUUGGGGAUGGGCUCGCGGCCUAUCAGCUUGUUGGUGGGGUGAUGGCCUACCAAGGCGGUGACGGGUAGCCGGCCUGAGAGGGUGGACGGUCACACAGGGAAUGAGACACGGACAGGACUACGACGGGAGGCAGCAGUGGGGAAUAUUGCACAAUGGGGGGAAGGCUGAUGCAGCGACGCCGCGUGAGGGAUGGAGGCCUUCGGGUUGUGAACCUCUUUCGCCAGUGAAGCAGGGCUGCCUCGUUUGUGGGUGGGUUGACGGUAGCUGGAGAAGAAGCGCCGGCUAACUACGUG